GAUGAACGCUGGCGGCGUGCCUAAUACAUGCAAGUCGAGCGAACAGACGAGGAGCGUGCUCCUCUGAUGUUAGCGGCGGACGGGUGAGUAACACGUGGAUAACCUACCUAUAAGACUGGGAUAACUUCGGGAAACCGGAGCUAAUACCGGAUAACAUGUUGAACCGCAUGGUUCAACAGUGAAAGACGGUCUUGCUGUCACUUAUAGAUGGAUCCGCGCCGCGUUAGCUAGUUGGUAAGGUAACGGCUUACCAAGGCAGCGAUGCGUAGCCGACCUGAGAGGGUGAUCGGCCACACUGGAGCUGGGACACGGUCACGACUCCUACGGGAGGCAGCAGUAGGCAACCUGAGGCAAUGGGCGAAAGCCUGACGGAGCAGCGCCGCGUGAGAGAAGAAGGUCCUCGGAGCGUAAAACUCGGUUAUUAGGGAAGAACAACUGUGUAAGUAAAUAUGCACGUCUUGACGGUACCUAAACAGAAAGCCACGGCUAACUACGUG
rnacentral:rRNA from 1 species